CCGGAAUGAACCAAGGCGAGUCUUCCCCCUCCCCGUCCCCCUCGGUCGCCUUUCUCGCCGCUCCGAGGCUGAGCAGCCAGCUGGGCCCCGCCGCUCCCCAGUCAGACGCCCCUCUCAGACGGCCAUGCCCGUCUCCCGCCCCACUGGGGUGCGGUGGGAAUUGGGAGUCUGGCGCCUCUGGCAGGCGGCGGGGAGGAGGGCAGAACGCCUGGGGAAGAUGGAGGGAAGGAGGCGCCCCUUCCCCGGGAAGCCCCCUCGCUGCCCCGGACUCGGCUCGGCUGCCGGGAAAGGGACGAGGAGACACCGCCGCGUCGCCUUUCUGACUUGCCUGCGACGCGUGUCAAGGGAGCGUGUCUGGAGGUGGGUGGGGAACGGAGCGGCUUGGCUCGUUUGCCUUGCCGUUUCUCAGUUGCUUUCCCGCAAAGGGAGGGAAAAAGAAAAAGGGAUUUUUUUUCCUUCUCCCCCCCCCUCCAAACGCCCAAACUGGGAUGGUUGGAAGUUUGGCACGGCUUUUCCACCCAUUUCGAAAGAAUGAUACCCUGGCUAGUGGCUUGGGACACGGACACACAUACACACACAAGGACACACACACACUCACACGAGCUAAGUUUAGGCGGAAUGAAUGUGGGGUUCUUUCCCCCCCCCCCAAGCAUCCAGUUCUGUAGUGGUGAGAAAGCAGCUUAGCCAUCCCGGCUUCUGGGAGUGUCAUGACAGCAGCCUUUUUUAUCUCUUUCCAGGGCAAGUGACUAAAAGUGUGGUGUGUUAAAAGCACAAGUCUUUAUUUUUGCAUCCAUUGUCCUGAUUAGCCUUCUGAUUGAGUUUGAACGGUUUUGUACAGAUGUGCCUGACUAAAGAUGAAUUCCUAGCCUUUCAUAGCUGGAAAAUAACAGGCUGUAAAUGUAGUCUUAUAUUCCCUUCUUCAGUUUCUUUUCAAAGAACCUCACUUAUCCAAUUUCUUUUGUACUACAUAUAUAAAAUACUUUUUAAAAAUGUGACUUGUUCUCAGUAAAAUUCCAUAUUGGUAUUAAAGUAAUAAUGAAACUUUAAAUGGAAUAUAAUAAUCAAAUAUAAUAUAGCAAUUAUAUUUGAAAGUUAAAAAUAAAAUUCUGAAAGAAUACGAUUAAUCAGUUUAUACUAAAUAUUUUCAGGGCUGUGAAAAGGUUUAUUACAAAUGUAGUUCAUAGACAACACAAAUUAUGCAAAAACAUGUAUUUUUAAAGUACUAUGAUGAGCUUUAUGGUAACUCUUUAAUCGCUUGUUUAAUUACAUUGUUUCAAAGUAAUUUUCUUUUAUGGAAUUUUUAAUAUCAAAAUUUGCAGAACCUUUUUGAGAAUACAAAAUAUUUUUAAUACAAUAGUAGACUUUAAGUGGUCAAUUAAUUAUCAAAUAUACUGAAGUUUUUACCCAUGUUGCAUAUUAUAGGGAGCAUUGAUUUCUUGUACUUAAGUGCUAAAACAUUUUAAUUAAAGUGCUCUCAAGGAAAGUAAAACUCCAUAAAGCAUAUCCAAAACAUUUCUUCUGUUGGUUCUAAACCCUGGAACAUUAUAAUCCCAAACAGUGGCUUUCAUUUACAUUGAAAAAUUGAACAUGUAUAAGUUUGGGUAUAUUUCAAAUAGAUACAUUUGUACUUCAUUUUACAAGUAGAUAUCUGUUCCAACACUAAUUAAUUGCAUUUGUUCAUUCAUAUUACUGUUUCAGUGGAAAUUGCUCCUAUGCCUCAAUGACCACAUUUAGAAAAAGAUAAGAGUAGAGAUAAUUUUUUUUAUACGUGGGCUAGGUGAUAAUGUGGUUGCUUUGGAAAAGAAUAAUUUACUACAUUACAUCAGUUUAGGAAGCUGAGUGUUAUUAUGAGCUUGGGCACUACCUAUUUUAUUGGUUUCAGCUAGAUUUUUGAAAAUACUUUUUCUGAGAGUCAGGCAGCAUAUACAUUUAAAUAAUAAACAUAGAAAAAUAGGUUGCAUGUUAUAAUUGUAGAUGUGUUGUUCCAAAAUUGAAAGUCAUCACAAAAUUGAGAUUCACAAUAAACAAGUAAAAAAGAAGCAAUAAUGUAAUUAAAACAGUUGGUGAAGACCUGUAUCCUUGUAAGUUUUCCUACAACUCAACAUGGAUAAUUGAAUUACUGUUUAAAAAUAGUUAGAACCUUUUUUUCCUCAUUUAGGUCAAAUAUUUACGCUAUAUGUUUUAAUAGAAAUGGAUAUGUUUAUAGUUGUGUUGAAAAUCUAUCAUAAAUUACAAAUAUAUUUAUAUUAAUUGCGUACAUUUAAGCUUUCUUAAAUGUCUACUGGUCCUGGUCAAGAACUUACAGAUACCACAAUGAAGUCUUUCAAAAUCUGUAAAAUACACUUCUACAUUAUACUAACAUAUCUUUUUUUUAAUAAUAUUGGUAUCUUACUCAAAGUAUUUUAAGCUAUAAAGCUAUAUCUGCAAAAAGAAUUUAAAUGGAUUAGUAAAAAAAUACCUUGUUUGUGAAUAAAGGCUGACAAUUUUUGACA